AAAAUAUGGCACAAAUGAAACUAAUAAUGAAAACAGAUUCAUAGACAUAGAAAAAAAUUGUGGUUGCCUUGGGGAGGGAGGAGAGAGUGGGAUGGACUGGGAGUUUGGGAUUAAUAGAUGCAAACCAUUGAAUUUAGAAUGGGAAGAUAAUAAGAUCUACUGUUUGGUAUGAGAAACAUAUCCAAUCUUUUGGGAUAGACCAUGAUGGAAAAUAAUAUUUAAAACAAAGAAUGUAUGUAUAUAUGUAUGACUGAGUCACUUUGCUAUACAGCAGAAAUUAGCACAACAUCAUAAAUCAACUAUAAUAAAAAAAGAACCAAUACAGCUCAAUAUGAGUUGUAAUUUAUGUUACCAAAUAAUUUUAAAGCAUUAUUUAUAGUUGAGGCAAUAAAGACACAGAAAUCUUUAGAUCACCAAAACAUUUCUGUUGGGGUUAAAAUUGGUUUUAAUACCUCCAAUUGCAACUUCUACUGUACAAUAUCUCUCUUAAUCAUAGCUCCAAAAAAAAAGAUAGGUAUAUAAGAUCCCACUUAAAUAAUCUACCAGUAUUCUCCAUCCUUUCUCUCUAAUAUAUUCACUGAUGAUCUACACAAGCAGGAUACUCCCAUUUAAGAACUACUCUCAAGGAGUUCCUGUUGUGGCUCAGCGGGUUAAGGAUACAACAUAGACUUCCUGAGGAAGGGGGUUGGAUGACUGGCCUAACUCAGUGUGUUAAGGAUCUGGCAUUGCUGCAAGCUGUGGUGUGGGUCUCAGAUGCAGCUUGGAUCCACUGUUGCCGUGGCUGUGGCUAUGGCUGUGGCCUCAGCUGCAGCUCCAAUUUGAUGCCUAGCUGGGUAGCUUCCAUAUGCUGCAGGCAUGGCUAUAAAUUUUUAAAAAAUAUAUAAAAACUACUCUCCCAUAUGCUCAGCUACCUCUGUUCCCUCUGUUCCAUUAACCAAACUAGCUUCCAAGCCAAGUUUUAUCAGGGACUAGAGUUUCUAGUUUAUAAAUGAAUAAAUAAUUUAUUUCAGAUUAAUACUCUGCAAACAUAUGUAUUUUAAUUAAAUGUUUAUCUUCCCAUCUUUGCUCUUAGAAUAGAGUGAUUGGAAUAUCACAUUUGUUCACUGAAAAAGAUCCUAAGAACUUCUGAGAUAUAAACCUGGAAAUCAUAAUUGCUUAAUAAGAGCUCAGACUUUCAUGGCUGAAUUAAACCUGCCAGUACUUGCAGUAUCAGAAGCCAAAUUUCCCAUCCAAAGAUCACUUCUAUGAGAACUUUUUUAUUGACUACUAUAUCACCAGUCACCAGUGCCUAGAACAGUGCUUGCCACAGAGCAGGUGCAUAAAAAAAUAUUUAUUGACUGAGUAAAUAAAUGAAUGUAUCUUAAACAGCCCUCACUUCGGUCAUUCAUUUCUUCAUCAACAAUUAGUAUAAAUCCUCAAAUGGGGUAUAUUCACCUGUCCCAAUGAAGCUUAUGUUAUAGAUUUUUAUGUAUAAACCUGAAGUUCUUGACCUACAUUCAGUAACUGAUGAAUAGUGCAGUAUUUAUUUCCUAAAAUAAUCAGCAAAUCCUUGGGUUAACUUUUCAGUUUUGGAAGUAUAUACACAAUAGCUGAUGGGAGAAAAGUUCUCUGCUUACUUGAGCCAGUAGUUUCCUCUAGUUUCAAGAAGCUUUUCUGUAUUAUUUCUAUAUUAUAUAACUAUGAAAACUGGAUGAAUAAUGGGUUUUACUCAUUACUAGUUUUAUUCAGUUUUGUUAUGAUUUUGAGAUAAAGUAAGAUUAUUUUCUAUAAAAUGCGAGUAGGUUCUAUUCCUGAUAAGUUUUAUAUUAUCCUGGAUAAAAUAUAUUAUAAGGAUAAUGGAUAACAUUGAAAAAGGAUUCACAGAAGCAGAGGUGCAAUUUAUUUUCCAUUUAAUACAAUUUUGCUUAAUUUUUACAUUUCUUUGUGUAAAAUCAUUCUCUUAAGUCCUAAAUGAUUCUCGUCUAUUUCAUAUAGAACAUAUAAAAGCAUAUUCACCAGAGGAAGCAAAUUUUCUUUCUUUUCUUUUCCCUUCCUCCCUUCCUUCCUUUCUCCCUUUCUCCCUUUGUCUUUUCAGGACCACACCCGUGGCAUAUGGAGAUUCCCAGACUAGAGGUUGAAUUGGAGCUGCAGUUGUCAGCCUACACCACAGCCAUGGCAACACAAGAUUUAAGCAAUGUCUGUGACCUACACCACAGCUCAAAGCAACACCAGAUCCUUAACCCACUGAGAGAGGCCAGGGAUUGAACUUGUGGAGGAAGCAUUUUUCUUAAGGAAACAUUAGCUGCUUCAAUAAACUAGCCCCAAACUCUCUCAAAACAGAUGAGCUUAUGUUUUGCUCACAUUAAAUCCCAAAAUAUAUUUUUUCUGCUCUGCUUUAUUUUUCUCCAAGUGAGGAUUCAAUGACAUGGGCUUAUUUUAACUUAAAUCUUCCACAAUGGCCAUGCUCACCAGUAUUAAGUGAGGAAAAGAUCAUGACAAAUUAGUUACAGGACAUUUUAAUGACCCAAGUCUCCCAGUUUGGAUGAGGGACACUACUUUUUGCUAACAUUCCAUUGGCCAGAAGUUAGACAUAUGAUCACAGCUAACAUCAAAGAAUGCUGAAAAUAUGUAGUACUAUUGUAUUUCCAGGAAAGAAAACAAAUUUCUUUGUUAAAGAGCUAGCAAAUCUAGUCAAAUACAUAAAUAAUAUUUUCUAACACUUGAUUCUGAUACUUUUCACUUUCUGCAUAACCUUGCCUGCUUUUAUAUCUUCCAAAUUUAUCUCCUUGCCUGCUUUCCCCCCAUUCGCUUCUUUAAUUCCUUUAUUCACUGAGACUAUUAACAAAUAUCUUGCUACCAAAUUUAUUUACCAAAUCAGUGGCAGCUGCACAAUUUCCAUGUAGGAAGGAUGGGGCAGAGAUUUAGUUGGAAAUGAGACCUAGGAAUUUUCUAGAAGCCUCAAAUAUUUUACUUAAUUGUGUUUGUUAAAUUAUACUUUUAUUUGACAUAGAUUAGAGGGAAAUGAUGACAGUUUUGGAGGUUAAAAUUGUGCUCUUUUUCUUCAGUUUCCCAGUGGCACAUGGUGUAGGGAUGAGUAGCUUCCAUGCCAUUUUAGCUACGUAUUAGUUGUCACAGUCUCCCCAACUAUAGAAAGAUUUUCUUUUUUUCAAAAUCAUUGAGCCAUAUUGAUCUUUACUACCAUCAGCAUUUGACACAUAUUUAAAAUCUAGAACAUGAAAUGUGAAAAAAAUUGUCCUGUUAUUGCUUUUAUGCUCUUAUCAUAUGCAGCAAAGCAUGCUCAUUUUAAUUCAAGGAAGAUGUUAGGUAUUUGUUAAGCUUUUGAAUAAGCAUAUAUUUUAAUAAGGCUUGUAUAAAAGGAGAACACUCUAUAUUUUUGAUGUGCUCAUAAAAAGAUAAAUUCCCAGCUAGCUAUGAUUUUGAAUACCAUUGAGAAAUACAUAGUAAAAAAACAAAAAGCAAAAAAAACAACAAAAAACUACUGGUUAUGAUGAAAGUCUGAAAAUGUAAAAGACAUCUAAGAACUGUGCAAUUAGCCUAUGUCCGACAAAUCAAACAUGUCUCUUCUACCCAGUAGGUACUAGUGGCUUUAAAGUUAUAGUCAUUUUAAACUCUCCUUAAAAAAGACACAUGCAUUUGCAUUUUCAUUGCAGUGCUAUUCACAAUAGCCAAGACAUGGCAUCAACCCAAUGUCCACUGAUAGAUGAUUGGAUUAGGAAGAUGUGGUGUGUGUAUAUAUAUAUAUAUAUAUAUAUACAAUGGAAUACUACUAAGCCAUAAAAAUGAAAUAAUGCCAUUUGCAGCAACAUGAAUGGAAUUAGAGACUCUUAUCCUGAGUGAGGUAAGUCAAUAAGAGAAAUACAAAUACCAUAUGAUAUAACUUAUAUCUUGAAUCUAACAUAUGGAACAAAGGAAACUUUCCACAGAAAAGAAAAUCAUGGACUUGGAGAAUAAACUUGUGGAUGCCAAGGAGGAAGGGGAGGGAAUGAGAGGGACUGGGAGCUUGGGGUAAAUAGAUGCAGAAUGUUGCCUUUGGGAUAAAUUGCCAAUGGGAUCCUGCUGUGUAGCACUGGGAACUCUGUCUAGUCACUUAUGACAGAACAUGUAUUGUGAGAAAAAAGAAUGUAUACAUGUAAGUGUAACUGGGUCACCAUGCUGUACAGUAGAAAAAAAUAUAAAUAAAUGAUAAAAAAUAAAAACAAAAAAGUUAUAGUAAUUUUAAGUUACCAGUGACAAGGGGUUAUAUUUCAAUAUAGAAGAAUAAUUAUUUCCCUGAAUAACAGGUCAUACACAAGCUUUCUUUUUUUGGAUAAUUAGAAACUACUAUCUAAUGAAUGAAUAAUAUUAGUUCACAACAAUUUUCGACACUAGGGCAAGUACAAAGAAGUAUAUAAUGUCACUGAUUUUCUCAAAUAUCUUUAAUAGAGUUAAAAAUAUGCCAUAUACACCAAAACACACACAACAUGUGCACACAAACAUAUACCCAGAGUUAAAUGAAUACAGUAUUCUAAGAACCAAAUUCAUCAAACAGUUUCUCCAAACAGUGGGGAUACACAAUUGGACUUGGGAUAAUUAGAAAAAGUCUUUAGACAAAAAAAUCUUAACCGAGUCUUAAAGGAUAACUAGGAUAUCAGGAUUCUCUAUAAAAACAGAACUGAUAGGAUUUAUAGAGGGAGAAUUAUAUCACAAGGAAUUGACUGAUGUAAAUAUGGAGGCUGAGAGAUCCCACAAUAUGCUGUCUGCAAGCUGGAAUCCCAGAGGAGUCAAUGGGAUAAAUCUACCUGAGCCCAAAGGCCUGAGAACCAGGAUCACCAAGGGCAGGAGAAGAGACCUCUCACCUCAAGGAAUCAGGCAAGAAGGGACAAAUUCCUCCUUCUUCUGCUUUUAUUCCAUUCAGGCCUUCCAUGGAUUAGAUGCUUCCCUCCUACACUGGGGAGGGGAAUUUCUUUCAUAGAGCCCACAGAUGCAAAUGUUAAUCUCACCUAGAAACACUCUCACAGACACACCUAGAAACAAGGUUUACCCUGGGCACCCCACGGCCAGUCAAACUGACACACAAAAAUAACCAUCGCAACUAGUAGUUUGGCAGAGUGAACAGAGGAGUGUAUCUUGAUGACUAGGUAAAAUCUGAGUUAAAAAGCACUUCUAUAAAGGCUUUAAGUAAGUCUGAAGGAUGCAUUAUUCUAGAUUGUUUUGGUUACAAAGGCCAAAAACAAACUUUAACACAGGCAAAGCAGAGAAUUGCUCCACAUAAAUAAGAAUUCCAAGGCAUUGCUGAAUCCAGGGACUCAAAUGAGGUCAGGAGUCCACCUGCAUUUCCAUUUCUGGGCUCUGAUUCAUUACACUUGUGUUACUGCUUCUAAUCAGCAGAAAAUAUGACUGCUGCUAGUCUCAGGUGUAGGUUUCCCUCACAGACUCCUUCCAGUACAGUCACCUCUCAGUAUUAGGGAUUGCUUUCAGGAUCUCCUCAGAUACCAAAGCCACAGAUACCCAAGUUUCCUUAUAUAAAAUGGCACAGUACUGUGGGCCCAACCUAUUCUUGAAUAUUGAGGGCCCACUCUAUGUAGAAACUUUGAAAAGACUGAGUUACUGUUGAAAACACAUGUAUUAAUCAUCUGUUACCACAUAACAAAUUACUCCAAAAUUUGAUGGCAGAAAAUAACAAACACUUGUUUUCUCACAUUUCCUAUGGAUUAGGAAGCUGGGAGCACGCUUUAGGCACCUCUUGUUCAAGUCUCUCAGGAGACCGCAAUACAGAUAUCAAAAGAGACUUAGGUCAUCUCAAGGCUUGGGUUAUGGAGGAUGGACUUCUAAGCUCACUCACAUGACUUUUGGCAGACCUAAGUCCUGGUUUAUAAUCUUUGUCAUAGACAUUGAGUUCCUUGCCACCUGGGUCUCCGCUUGGGAUUAUGCACAGGAUCCUUUCUUCCUCCCAAGUGAAGGCUGGAGGUUGCGGGAGGGGGAGAGAUAUAUCAAGACAAAAAUAAUAGCCCUUCUGUUACUUAAUUUUAGGAGUAACAUACCACCACUUCUACCCUAUUCUAGUCUUUAGAAACCAUGUCAGUACGUCCAGGGCAGAGGAUGGUAGAGGAUAUGAAUAUUGGGAGGUGAGCAUCAUUGGUGGUUGUAUUUGCGAUUGCUUAACACAACUGCUGAAAUAGUCAUGAUAUAAGAGAAAAAGUAGUCUGGCAUGGAUAGAUUAUGAGUUCAUCCUUCAUAUUAUGAGUGGGGGAGAUCUACAUAAAUCAUAUUUAAUAGGUUCAUCACCAAAGAGAAGGUUGCUUUUACCAAAAGAGGGAAAUGAUUUCUAGAGAGGCAAAAAAACAGGACACUGAAUUGAUGGACUAUCUUGCUUGGGGGGAGUGUUUGUUUCUCGGUAGCUGGGGCAAUUAGAGAGGGAACUGGUGUUGCAUGAUCUUGAUAUUUUACUUUAUCACUUGAGUAAUCAAGUUUUGUUUGUGUGGCUGCUGUUUCAAAGAGCAGAGUGAUGCUCCAAAAAAUUGUUUUUUAAACAAACAAAAUAAAACCAGCAAAAAUAAAAUUUUAUGCUUGACUGAAGAGGAUGAUGGAGGUUUAUACUUCCAUUUUUCAGAUAUUAUUUAAAGAUUUGUUUUAAUUAAGAUGAGUUGGUAGGCAAAAAAAAAAAAAAAAAAAAAAA
rnacentral:lncRNA from 1 species